GUGACACCAGCCUGCCAGGGCAGGUUUCCAUGGCAACCAACCAUCACAACAGGUCCAGGCCUUGGUUGCUGUGGCACCAAACUAAGGAAUGGGUCCCUGUGGCCGUUGCCAUGGCACCUGGUGGCACCAAUGAGUGUCACUGCAAUUCUACCUGGAACAGCCCUGGCACUGCUUUGUCCUGAGGGUUGCUGUGGCAGCCAAGGACAGCAACAGCUCUGCACGCAAGUGGCCAUGGAAUCUGGCUGCAGAAAUGGCUCCUUGGGGUGGUUUCCAAGGAAACUUGAACUGAUGAGGGUUGCCAUGGCACCCAAACGCAGCAGUGGGGUCAGUGCAGUGUCCAUGGCAACAGCCCCUUUCAAUGGCCCAGUGCAGGCUGGGAUGAUGAUCCAUCCUCACAGCCGACCCAGGGCAGGUCUGCAGUGGUCUUGCUGGCACCUUGGGCUUGGCACACACUUGAGGAGGGUGUUUUCAAUGGGGGCCUCAGGAGAUUUAGAUUGCUUCAAAAAAUUAAAAAGGCAAAAUCCCUCUUUGGUUGGGUUCAGCCAGUUCUCCAAGCAAAUCAGGUCCCAGGUCCCCAUGCGCAGCCACAGCAAAUGUCCAACAGCAGCUCCAUCAGAUCUUCAGGGCCGUGCUGAGGAUCCUCUCUGAGCAGGGACGGCACAAAGCCUUUUCCACCUGCCUCCCUCACUUGGCUGUGGUCUCUCUGUUUAUCAGUACUGCUACAUUUGCAUACCUGAAGCUCCCCUCUGUUUCUUCUCCAUCCCUGGAUCUGUCAGUCUCUGUUCUGUACUGAGUAGUGAUUCCAGCACUGAACAACCUUAUCUACCGCCUGAGGAACCAGGAGCUCAAGGAUGCCUUGAGGAAAGUGGUGAUUGUAUCUUUUCAGAAACAAUAAACUCUCUUUUUUCUGCUCAGAACCUUCAGAAUGUAACUUUUUACAAUCUCAGCUGUUUUUUCCCUAUUUGUCCAUUUUUCAUUGGGAGGGACCUUAUUAGUUUUCUAGUUUUAUAAUGAUUUUUAUAAAAAACAUUAUAGCAUUUCUUCAUAAAAAGCUCCUGGUAGCUUGGUUAC